AUUCUUGAUGUCUCUGCAAGACUGUUUUGGGGGUGAAAUUAACAGGCAAGUUGGUGAGCUUUGGUGAAGCAAACAACCUUACAUGAUGUGAGUGGUCCUUGUGCCCAGUUGAAGCCUUCUGUGGCCCUGCAGACUCCUGACUGAACUAACACAGUUGGGGAGAAUAAGCCGUAAAAAGGGGAGCUUUUCUGUCCUUUCACUUUGCACUGAUGCCCCAUCCAUCCUCCCUUUCUGCUUGCCAUGGUAAAUGGUGUCCGACGUAACACAGAUGCACUGUGCACUGGAGAGGCAGAGCAUCCUGCCUUCCACAGCCGUGCACACCAGUCCCUGUGCACAAGUGGCCACCCACCCAGCGAAUCGACGUGGUGUGCUUAUCAAAAUCUGUGUGUCUGUGGGCCAGAGCCAAAUCCAGCAGAGCCCCAUCCUGAAUGCCCAGCGGUGCCCACAGCCAGGAGGAGCAUUCGAUGUGUGAUGACUCAUCUCGUGCAUCAGACGCUCUCUAAAGUUCCCACAGAUUAUACCAUGGCUUAGUGAGUGCGAUUCUAAGACAGUUCCAAAAGACUUUUCAAUCCGUGGGAGUUUCAAAGUGGAUUCUCAGACAAACAUGGGGAGGACUGAGGCAGGCUUGGACACGCACAGAAUCAGACAACGAUGGGCUGAGGAAGUGGCUCAGCGGUUAAGAGCACUGUCUGCUCUUCCAAAGGUCCGGAGUUCAAAUCCCUGCAACCACAUGGUGGCUCACAACCAACUGUAAUGAGAUCUGGCGCCCUCUUCUGGAGUGUCUGAAGACAGAUACAGUGUACUUACAUAUAGUAAAUAAAUAAAUCUUAAAAAAAAAAAAAA
rnacentral:lncRNA from 1 species